rnacentral:rRNA from 1 species
AUUCCAGCUCCAAGAGCGUAUAUUAAAGUUGUUGCAGUUAAAAAGCUCGUAGUUGGAUUUCUGGUACAACGCGCCUGGCCCGCUUUUAGUGAGUGCCGGUGCGCGUUUGCCAUCCUUCUAGAAAACGUUUCUACCUGGGCAACCGGGCCGGACUCGCGAUCUAGAUCUUUUACUUUGAAAAAAUUAGAGUGUUUAAAGCAGGCUUUUGCUGUGAAUACAUUAGCAUGGAAUAAUAAUCUAGGACUUCGGUUCUAUUUUGUUGGUUUCUAGUACUGAAGUAAUGAUUGAUAGGGAUAGUUGGGGGUGCUAGUAUUGGCCGGCCAGAGGUGAAAUUCUUGGAUUCGGUCAAGACUAACUUAUGCGAAAGCAUUCACCAAGGAUGUCUUCAUCA